ensembl:lncRNA
CUAAAACAAUGACAGAAAUAACAUAUUACUUACACUCUAAAAACGGCUGGGUUAUUUUUUUAACCCAAAAUGCUGGGCUGAGUCUGUUGGGUCAUUUUGUUGGGUUAUUUUAUUACUUUUAAACACUUUUGGGUAGUUUCGAUUUGCCAGGUGGUGAGUUAAACCUGCUGGGUUGCAACGCUGGGUUGUUUCAGGCCAGCACUCGGUUAUUUAACGCGCCUUGAAGAUGUUUAAAUCGCUCCCUAACUGUCAUUUUGGAAGGACAACGGGCAAAGCAACUGGUUUCAACUGUUUUAAGAAGAGCACAUGGAUACAUUUGUGAGAGAAAAACUCGUCGAAUGCAGUCUUAUCGAGACGUCUAACGGUUGGAACAAACGUGGAAUUCCUUAACUGAGCAGAGUCCACAAAACCCCAUCCAUUUGUCAUGCCGAUUUGAAAAUGCCAGCAGAUCUCCUAGGUAUUGAUCAUAAUCAAUGGACAGGUCACCGUAGCCACCCAGAUCCAGUCUGUAUUCAGAUCAGAUGGUCACUGCAGUCACCCGGAUUCAGCCUGUAUCCAGAUCAGAUGGUGGAUCAGCACCUAGAGAUGACCUCUGCAGCCCUGAAUGUCA